GACGAACGCUGGCGGCGUGCUUAACACAUGCAAGUCGAACGGAAAGGCCCUGCUUUUGUGGGGUGCUCGAGUGGCGAACGGGUGAGUAACACGUGAGUAACCUGCCCUUGACUUUGGGAUAACUUCAGGAAAAUGGGGCUAAUACCGGAUAGGAGCUCCUGCUGCAUGGUGGGGGUUGGAAAGUUUCGGCGGUUGGGGAUGUACUCGCGGCUUAUCAGCUUGUUGGUGGGGUAGUGGCUUACCAAGGCGUUGACGGGUAGCCGGCCUGAGAGGGUGACCGGCCACAUUGGGACUGAGAUACGGCCCAGACUCCUACGGGAGGCAGCAGUGGGGAAUAUUGCACAAUGGGCGGAAGCCGGAUGCAGCAACUCCGCGUGCGGGAUGACGGCCUUCGGGUUGUAACCCGCUUUCGCCUGUGACGAAGCGUGAGUGACGGUAAUGGGUAAAGAAGCACCGGCUAACUACGUG
rnacentral:rRNA from 1 species